UACGUAGGGUGCAAGCGUUAAUCGGAAUUACUGGGCGUAAAGCGCGCGUAGGCGGCUUUGCAAGUCGGGUGUGAAAUCCCCAGGCUUAACCUGGGAACUGCAUUCGAGACUGCAUUGCUAGAGUAUGGGAGAGGGAAGUGGAAUUUCAGGUGUAGCGGUGAAAUGCGUAGAUAUCUGAAGGAACAUCAGUGGCGAAAGCGACUUCCUGGACCAAUACUGACGCUCAUGUGCGAAAGCGUGGGGAGCAGACAGG
rnacentral:rRNA from 1 species